UUUUUUUUUUUUUUUUUGAGACACAGCCUUGCUCUGUCGCCCAGGCUGGAGUGCAGUGGCACAAUCUCGGCUCACUGCAAGCUCCACCUCCCGGGUUCACGCCAUUCUCCUGCCUCAGCCUCACGAGUAGCUGGGACUACAGGCGCCUGCCACCACUCCUGGCUAAUUUUUUUUUGUAUUUUUAGUAGAGACGGGGUUUCACCGUGUUAGCCAGGAUGGUCUCGAUCUCCUGACCUCGUGAUCUGCCAGCCUCGACCUCCCAAAGUGCUGAGAUUACAGGCUUGAGCCACCACGCCCAGUCCAACAUCUCUUAUUAAGGACAUUCUACAGCCCUCCCUUUAAGGAAUGCUUCCAGGCUGUCACUGCCAGCAUCCAGAAAAGGACCUGACUAAUGCUUCCUUUGAGAAAAGCACCGUAAAGCAUGAUUGGCUCCAUUCUCCAACAGACAAAGUGGAUGUGGCAACCCCAGACCUUCCAACCUUUCAGCUGCAAGUUCAACAGGAAUAAAGACUUCUUCCCAGUGGUUUCUUCAAAAGCCCUCAGAUUAGCUGUUUGCCUAGCUUGUCACAUGCCACCCCAGAACCAAUCCCUAUGGCCAGAGAAAUGUAGCGUAUUGAUUGGUUUAGCCCUAGGUCACAUGACCCACCUCUGGAAAAGGGCUCAAUCCUCACUCAAACUGCUUUGGCUGAAGGCUUGGAAGAGAUGGAGCCAAGGAAAGUAGACACUGGGGAUGCAAAAAUAAAAGUUCAAUAAGUAUGCCUUUAAAUACGGACCAGAUACUGAAUAUUAAAAACCAGCACAUUCUGAAAAGAAGAAAUAUAAGCAAAAGAAAAAAAAAGUGGGAAAUAUGAGAUAGUAUUUAGAAUUAGUAAGCUAUCCAACUAAGGUCAAGUUCAAGAAUAUUUUAAGAGUUACUUAAAUAUAUAGAGAUAGCUAGGCAUGGUAACUUGUGCCUGUAAUUCCAGCUGCUCUGGAAGCCAAGGUGGGAGGAUUGUCUUAAGCCCGGGACUUCAAUGCUGCAGUGAGCUGUGAUUUCACCCUUGCAUUCCAGCCUGUGAAAUAAAGGAGACCCCAUCUCUAAGAAAAAGAAAAAGAAAUAAAUAUAUAAAAUUACUUCCCUGUUA
rnacentral:lncRNA from 10 species